AAUUCUCAACUGCCUUUUAGCAUUUAUUGUUAAAGGUGAAGUUGGAUUUGGAGGAUAAUUGCUGGCGCAACUUAUGUUGGUUGCUUGUUAGCUCCUCUUAAAUGGAUGAGCUUUUCUGAUGAAUCAUGGCUCAGAGUAGUAUCAAUGUGAUAAUUAUCUACAUUAGAUGUGAAAGCUGUGAGUAGAGAGUAACUUUUUGCUCCUACAGAAAAGGAAAUGUUUUGGGGAUAAUAAACCCAUAUACAAUGACAA
rnacentral:misc_RNA from 1 species